AGAGUUUGAUCCUGGCUCAGGACGAACGCUGGCGGCACGCUUAACACAUGCAAGUCGAACGAGAGAAGAGGAGCUUGCUUUUCUGAUCUAGUGGCGGACGGGUGAGUAACACGUGAGCAAUCUGCCUUUCAGAGGGGGAUACCGAUUGGAAACGAUCGUUAAUACCGCAUAAUAUAAUUGAACCGCAUGAUUUGAUUAUCAAAGAUUUAUCGCUGAAAGAUGAGCUCGCGUCUGAUUAGCUAGUUGGUAAGGUAACGGCUUACCAAGGCGACGAUCAGUAGCCGGACUGAGAGGUUGAUCGGCCACAUUGGGACUGAGACACGGCCCAGACUCCUACGGGAGGCAGCAGUGGGGAAUAUUGCACAAUGGAGGAAACUCUGAUGCAGCGAUGCCGCGUGAGGGAAGAAGGUUUUAGGAUUGUAAACCUCUGUCUUCAGGGACGAAAAAAGACGGUACCUGAGGAGGAAGCUCCGGCUAACUACGUGCCAGCAGCCGCGGUAAUACGUAGGGAGCGAGCGUUGUCCGGAAUUACUGGGUGUAAAGGGAGCGUAGGCGGGAUCGCAAGUCAGAUGUGAAAACUAUGGGCUUAACCCAUAAACUGCAUUUGAAACUGUGGUUCUUGAGUGAAGUAGAGGUAAGCGGAAUUCCUAGUGUAGCGGUGAAAUGCGUAGAUAUUAGGAGGAACAUCAGUGGCGAAGGCGGCUUACUGGGCUUUAACUGACGCUGAGGCUCGAAAGCGUGGGGAGCAAACAGGAUUAGAUACCCUGGUAGUCCACGCCGUAAACGAUGAUUACUAGGUGUGGGGGGACUGACCCCUUCCGUGCCGCAGCAAACGCAAUAAGUAAUCCACCUGGGGAGUACGACCGCAAGGUUGAAACUCAAAGGAAUUGACGGGGGCCCGCACAAGCAGUGGAGUAUGUGGUUUAAUUCGACGCAACGCGAAGAACCUUACCAAGUCUUGACAUCCUGCGACGGUGCUGGAAACAGUACUUUCCUUCGGGACGCAGAGACAGGUGGUGCAUGGUUGUCGUCAGCUCGUGUCGUGAGAUGUUGGGUUAAGUCCCGCAACGAGCGCAACCCUUACUGUUAGUUGCUACGCAAGAGCACUCUAGCAGGACUGCCGUUGACAAAACGGAGGAAGGUGGGGAUGACGUCAAAUCAUCAUGCCCCUUAUGACCUGGGCCUCACACGUACUACAAUGGCUGUCAACAGAGGGAAGCAAAGCCGCGAGGUGGAGCGAACCCCUAAAAGCAGUCUUAGUUCGGAUUGUAGGCUGCAACCCGCCUACAUGAAGUCGGAAUUGCUAGUAAUCGCAGAUCAGCAUGCUGCGGUGAAUACGUUCCCGGGCCUUGUACACACCGCCCGUCAC
rnacentral:rRNA from 1 species